GUCAGGAUGUCCGAGUGGUUAAGGAGUUUGACUUGAAAUCAAAUGCGUUCGCGCGCGCAGGUUCGAAUCCUGUUCCUGACG
rnacentral:tRNA from 1 species